rnacentral:sRNA from 1 species
CAAGAACUCAGAAUCUGGGCUAUGGACAGUGCAUUCACAAGCUGGGCGGUUGCCAACGCUGCAGUCUCGUUAGGUGCUUGCGAACAUGCACUCUCGUGGUAAGGUCCUGUUGCGCUGCUUGCUUGUUGGGACAUCAGAGCACGGCACGCACAGAAGAAAUACAUGCUCUCCAGGCAUUUUAACUUCUACAGAGCUGUUUUCUGCUGCAGAUACUAGCCAGAGAACGUACUACCUAUCUUUCCAAUUCUGCGAUUCUUCAUAGAAGGGAACAAUUCCAACUUGGGUCAACAGGACAUCCUUAAGACUCGAAUAAAAAACGGAGGUGUGAUGCAUUUGUAUGAAUGCACUUCCCGCCUAUCAUCUUUC